rnacentral:rRNA from 1 species
UUUAUGGAGAGUUUGAUCCUGGCUCAGGACGAACGCUGGCGGCGUGCCUAAUACAUGCAAGUCGAGCGAACAAGAGAGGAGCUUGCUCUUCUUGGAUGAGUUGCGAACGGGUGAGUAACGCGUAGGUAACCUGCCUUGUAGCGGGGGAUAACUAUUGGAAACGAUAGCUAAUACCGCAUAACAAUGGAUGACACAUGUCAUUUAUUUGAAAGGGGCAAUUGUUCCACUACAAGAUGGACCUGCGUUGUAUUAGCUAGUAGGUGAGGUAAUGGCUCACCUAGGCGACGAUACAUAGCCGACCUGAGAGGGUGAUCGGCCACACUGGGACUGAGACACGGCCCAGACUCCUACGGGAGGCAGCAGUAGGGAAUCUUCGGCAAUGGGGGCAACC